GCUGAAGAACGUAGCGAAAUGCGAUACUUGGUGUGAAUUGCAGAAUCCCGUGAACCAUCGAGUCUUUGAACGCAAGUUGCGCCCGAAGCCAUUAGGCCGAGGGCACGCCUGCCUGGGCGUCACACGUCGUUGCCCCCCCAUCUACUCCUUCGGGAUUGCGGGGGGCGGAUGAUGGCCUCCCGUGCGCCUCGUCGCGCGGUUGGCAUAAAUGCCAAGUCCUCGGCGACGCACGCCACGACAAUCGGUGGUUGCGAAACCUCGGUUGCCCGUCGUGUGCGGUCGUCGCGCAUCGAGGGCUCGAAAAAAUUGCCGGGCUCCGGCUCGGCUUUCAACGCGACCCCAGGUCAGGCGGGGUUACCCGCUGAAUUUAAGCAUAUCAAUAAGCGGAGGA
rnacentral:misc_RNA from 1 species